GACGAACGCUGGCGGCGUGCUUAACACAUGCAAGUCGAACGGAAAGGCCCUGCUUUUGUGGGGUGCUCGAGUGGCGAACGGGUGAGUAACACGUGAGUAACCUGCCCUUGACUUUGGGAUAACUUCAGGAAACUGGGGCUAAUACCGGAUAGGAGCUCCUGCUGCAUGGUGGGGGUUGGAAAGUUUCGGCGGUUGGGGAUGGACUCGCGGCUUAUCAGCUUGUUGGUGGGGUAGUGGCUUACCAAGGCUUUGACGGGUAGCCGGCCUGAGAGGGUGACCGGCCACAUUGGGACUGAGAUACGGCCCAGACUCCUACGGGAGGCAGCAGUGGGGAAUAUUGCACAAUGGGCGGAAGCCUGAUGCAGCAACGCCGCGUGCGGGAUGACGGCCUUCGGGUUUUAAACCGCUUUCGCCUGUGACGAAGCGUGAGUGACGGUAAUUGGUAAAGAAGCACCGGCUAACUACGUG
rnacentral:rRNA from 1 species